rnacentral:rRNA from 1 species
UACGAAGGGGGCUAGCGUUGCUCGGAAUCACUGGGCGUAAAGCGCACGUAGGCGGACUCUUAAGUCGGUGGUGAAAUCCUGGAGCUCAACUCCAGAACUGCCUUUGAUACUGAGAGUCUUGAGUCCGGGAGAGGUGAGUGGAACUGCGAGUGUAGAGGUGAAAUUCGUAGAUAUUCGCAAGAACACCAGUGGCGAAGGCGGCUCACUGGCCCGGUACUGACGCUGAGGUGCGAAAGCGUGGGGAGCAAACAGG